rnacentral:rRNA from 1 species
GUGUGACUGCGUACCUUUUGUAUAAUGGGUCAGCGACUUAUAUUCUGUAGCAAGGUUAACCGAAUAGGGGAGCCGAAGGGAAACCGAGUCUUAACUGGGCGUUAAGUUGCAGGGUAUAGACCCGAAACCCGGUGAUCUAGCCAUGGGCAGGUUGAAGGUUGGGUAACACUAACUGGAGGACCGAACCGACUAAUGUUGAAAAAUUAGCGGAUGACUUGUGGCUGGGGGUGAAAGGCCAAUCAAACCGGGAGAUAGCUGGUUCUCCCCGAAAGCUAUUUAGGUAGCGCCUCGUGAAUUCAUCUCCGGGGGUAGAGCACUGUUUCGGCAAGGGGGUCAUCCCGACUUACCAACCCGAUGCAAACUGCGAAUACCGGAGAAUGUUAUCACGGGAGACACACGGCGGGUGCUAACGUCCGUCGUGAAGAGGGAAACAACCCAGACCGCCAGCUAAGGUCCCAAAGUCAUGGUUAAGUGGGAAACGAUGUGGGAAGGCCCAGACAGCCAGGAUGUUGGCUUAGAAGCAGCCAUCAUUUAAAGAAAGCGUAAUAGCUCACUGGUCGAGUCGGCCUGCGCGGAAGAUGUAACGGGGCUAAACCAUGCACCGAAGCUGCGGCAGCGACGCUGAUGCGUUGUUGGGUAGGGGAGCGUUCUGUAAGCCUGUGAAGGUGUGCUGUGAGGCAUGCUGGAGGUAUCAGAAGUGCGAAUGCUGACAUAAGUAACGAUAAAGCGGGUGAAAAGCCCGCUCGCCGGAAGACCAAGGGUUCCUGUCCAACGUUAAUCGGGGCAGGGUGAGUCGACCCCUAAGGCGAGGCCGAAAGGCGUAGUCGAUGGGAAACAGGUUAAUAUUCCUGUACUUGGUGUUACUGCGAAGGGGGGACGGAGAAGGCUAUGUUGGCCGGGCGACGGUUGUCCCGGUUUAAGCGUGUAGGCUGGUUUUCCAGGCAAAUCCGGAAAAUCAAGGCUGAGGCGUGAUGACGAGGCACUACGGUGCUGAAGCAACAAAUGCCCUGCUUCCAGGAAAAGCCUCUAAGCAUCAGGUAACAUCAAAUCGUACCCCAAACCGACACAGGUGGUCAGGUAGAGAAUACCAAGGCGCUUGAGAGAACUCGGGUGAAGGAACUAGGCAAAAUGGUGCCGUAACUUCGGGAGAAGGCACGCUGAUAUGUAGGUGAAGUCCCUCGCGGAUGGAGCUGAAAUCAGUCGAAGAUACCAGCUGGCUGCAACUGUUUAUUAAAAACACAGCACUGUGCAAACACGAAAGUGGACGUAUACGGUGUGACGCCUGCCCGGUGCCGGAAGGUUAAUUGAUGGGGUCAGCGCAAGCGAAGCUCUUGAUCGAAGCCCCGGUAAACGGCGGCCGUAACUAUAACGGUCCUAAGGUAGCGAAAUUCCUUGUCGGGUAAGUUCCGACCUGCACGAAUGGCGUAAUGAUGGCCAGGCUGUCUCCACCCGAGACUCAGUGAAAUUGAACUCGCUGUGAAGAUGCAGUGUACCCGCGGCAAGACGGAAAGACCCCGUGAACCUUUACUAUAGCUUGACACUGAACAUUGAGCCUUGAUGUGUAGGAUAGGUGGGAGGCUUUGAAGUGUGGACGCCAGUCUGCAUGGAGCCGGCCUUGAAAUACCACCCUUUAAUGUUUGAUGUUCUAACGUUGACCCGUGAUCCGGGUUGCGGACAGUGUCUGGUGGGUAGUUUGACUGGGGCGGUCUCCUCCUAAAGAGUAACGGAGGAGCACGAAGGUUGGCUAAUCCUGGUCGGACAUCAGGAGGUUAGUGCAAUGGCAUAAGCCAGCUUGACUGCGAGCGUGACGGCGCGAGCAGGUGCGAAAGCAGGUCAUAGUGAUCCGGUGGUUCUGAAUGGAAGGGCCAUCGCUCAACGGAUAAAAGGUACUCCGGGGAUAACAGGCUGAUACCGCCCAAGAGUUCAUAUCGACGGCGGUGUUUGGCACCUCGAUGUCGGCUCAUCACAUCCUGGGGCUGAAGUAGGUCCCAAGGGUAUGGCUGUUCGCCAUUUAAAGUGGUACGCGAGCUGGGUUUAGAACGUCGUGAGACAGUUCGGUCCCUAUCUGCCGUGGGCGCUGGAGAACUGAGGGGGGCUGCUCCUAGUACGAGAGGACCGGAGUGGACGCAUCACUGGUGUUCGGGUUGUCAUGCCAAUGGCACUGCCCGGUAGCUAAAUGCGGAAGAGAUAAGUGCUGAAAGCAUCUAAGCACGAAACUUGCCCCGAGAUGAGUUCUCCCUGACUCCUUGAGAGUCCUGAAGGAACGUUGAAGACGACGACGUUGAUAGGCCGGGUGUGUAAGCGCAGCGAUGCGUUGAGCUAACCGGUACUAAUGAACCGUGAGGCUUAACCUU